CGUCUAGAGAGACUGCCGGUGAUAAACCGGAGGAAGGUAGGGGAGUGACGUCAAAUCAUCAUGCCCCUUAUGACCUGGGCUACACACGUACUACAAUGGCGCAUACAACGAGCUGCAAGAUGGUGACAUCAAGCGAAUCUCUUAAAAUGCGUCUCAGUUCGGAUUGGAGUCUGCAACUCGACUCCAUGAAGUCGGAAUCGCUAGUAAUCGCGGAUCAGCAUGCCGCGGUGAAUACGUUCUCGGGGUUU
rnacentral:rRNA from 1 species